CUGGAGGGCAGCAAUACAUCACAGGAGCACAUGUCUUUGUUGGCCAACACUGACGCUCUCUGAACUAAGCAAGACAAAGGACUGGAGUUUGAUGUCAAAGGUAUCAUUGAGUUUUAUUAUUAUUAUAUUGCAUGCGACUUUAAUAAUAGUUUUAUCAGACAGAAUAGGUUGGGUAUGUAUGGCUUUGUAAAUGCUUUUUUUGCUGUGAUUGGUGCUGUACUUUGCAUUGUUUUUUAUGAAUAAAUAAAGACUAGAUGAGAAAACUAAAAUAAACCGAGUCUGAUCCUUUGUGUGUGGAAAAAAUAGGUUGUUGGAAUAGUUAUUACUUUGAUAAUCCUCAAAAGGAGCUUAUGAUAUUUUAAAAAACAGAUCAUGGAAAAGCUGAUAAGUUUUCACCUGUAGAUCUGAUCAUUGUUGUUGCAGGAGUUCAUCUUUAAGUACUUUGUAAGAAAAUACCUUGUUUGUUUUCCCUGUAAGAUUAUAAAACAGAUGAUUACAGGAAAAGAUGAUUCUCGUCAACACUUAAAAUCCACAACUCUCAGUGUAAGCCAACUAGUCUUAUCUGAGCCAUAUGUUCCUGAGGCUUUAAUCUUCCUUUUUGAGACCAAACUGUUCAUGUAUUUCAGUCUAAAACGAGCUUCAAAAUGUCCAAUUCAUGAAAGCCAAGCAUGUUGGUUUUCCUCACAGAUUUUAAAGACCAGGUAGCUACCCACUAAAGAUACACAUAAUCAAACUCCUACCCCUGUAAGAAAACAUGUGUGACAGCUUUAGGUGGUGUGGGUCAUCUAUUACAGAGGCAAAGAAAAAGGUAAAGAUGGAGACCAGACCCUCAGACGGUUUCUCAAAUCAAGGUGAAGACACCUUUAGAGGUUACUAUGCAGAUACACAGUAGAUGGCGCCAGUAUGACAUGCCGUGCUUCACUUCAGCUGUUAGUAAUACACAGUGAAGAAAGCACCUGUGCAACUGAUGGUCAAAAUUCACCACAAAAAAUGCUGUAAAUGACCCACAAGACAGGCAUUAUUAUUUUACUGUAUCACAACCAUGUAAGCCACCAACAAUGGAAACUAUAUGGUUAUUCAUUUAUAGUAGUGUGACGUGACAAUUCAAUGUAAGGUGGCUGGAUAAUUCUAAUGAUGAGAAAUAGCAGGAUGGAGACGGAUAACUUUGUUCACAGCACUUUUACUCUUCAGCCAUCUUAUCAUCCCCACAACAUAACCCCCAAAACCUAACAUCCUGGACAACCC